UACGAAGGGGGCUAGCGUUGCUCGGAAUCACUGGGCGUAAAGGGUGCGUAGGCGGGUCUUUAAGUCAGGGGUGAAAUCCUGGAGCUCAACUCCAGAACUGCCUUUGAUACUGAAGAUCUUGAGUUCGGGAGAGGUGAGUGGAACUGCGAGUGUAGAGGUGAAAUUCGUAGAUAUUCGGAGGAACACCAGUGGCGAAGGCGACUGCCUGGACAAAGACUGACGCUGAGGUGCGAAAGCGUGGGGAGCAAACAGG
rnacentral:rRNA from 1 species